rfam:Termitomyces sp. J132 unplaced genomic scaffold scaffold238, whole genome shotgun sequence.
GUCUUGGUAGCUCAGUGGUAGAGCAUGCGAUUGCAGUCAUUAUACCAAUUAUCGCAGGGUCCGGUGUUCGAACCACCGUCAGGACU